rnacentral:rRNA from 1 species
GACGAAUGCUGGCGGCGUGCUUAACACAUGCAAGUCGAACGGAAAGGCCCUGCUUUUGUGGGGUGCUCGAGUGGCGAACGGGUGAGUAACACGUGAGUAACCUGCCCUUGACUUUGGGAUAACUACAGGAAACUGGGGCUAAUACCGGAUAGGAGCUCCUGCUGCAUGGUGGGGGUUGGAAAGUUUCGGCGGUUGGGGAUGGACUCGCGGCUUAUCAGCUUGUUGGUGGGGUAGUGGCUUACCAAGGCUUUGACGGGUAGCCGGCCUGAGAGGGUGACCGGCCACAUUGGGACUGAGAUACGGCCCAGACUCCUACGGGAGGCAGCAGUGGGGAAUAUUGCACAAUGGGCGGAAGCCUGAUGCAGCAACGCCGCGUGCGGGAUGACGGCCUUCGGGUUGUAAACCGCUUUCGCCUGUGACGAAGCGUGAGUGACGGUAAUGGGUAAAGAAGCACCGGCUAACUACGUG